CCUACGGGUGGCAGCAGUAGGGAAUAUUGCUCAAUGGGGGAAAGCCUGAAGCAGCAAAGCCGCGUGGAGGAUGAAGGUUUUCGGAGUGGAAACUCCUUUUGGUAGAGAAGAAAAUGACGGUAUCUAACGAAUAAGCACCGGCUAACGCCGUGCCAGCAGCCGCGGUAAUACGGAGGGCGCAAGCGUUACUCGGAAUUACGGGGCGUAAAGAGCGCGUAGGCGGGAUAGCAAGUCAGAUGUGAAAUCCUAUGGCUUAACCCUAGAACUGCAUUUGAAACUGUUAUUCUAGAGUAUGGGAGAGGUAGGUGGAAUUCUUGGUGUAGCGGUUAAAUCCGUAGAGAUCACGAGGAAUACUCAUUGCGAAGGCGACCUGCUAGAACCUAACUGACGCUGAUGCGCGAAAGCGUGGGGAGCAAACAGGAUUAGAUACCCUAGUAGUC
rnacentral:rRNA from 1 species